AGAUCACGAAAGCAUAUCUCCUAGGCAAAACCAUUAACCUGUUAUCCCUGCAGAAGCCCUUUUGACUUGGGAGCAAUGGGGAAACCAUCAUCCACAUCCAUUAUGCUGCUCAUGUUUUUGCUAGUUGCCAUCGGUUUGCAAGUAAGCGUGGAAGCACAACUUCCUCAAUGCCUUAGGCCCGCAGAUUGCCACGGGCCACCAGGUUGUUGCACGUGUCGAGUCUUACAUUGUGUGUGCAAAUGCUCACAAGGGGAGAGUUCCACAGGAGACAUCGAGGGGAAAGGAAAUGGGCAAAAAGUUCCUUGAAACGAAAUGGAAAUCCAUAAAUCUUCUAUGAUAUCAAAAUAAAUUUUUACUAGUUGUUUCUUUUGAAGAUUAACAAUGAGCUCUUUCUCUC